rnacentral:rRNA from 1 species
GACGAACGCUGGCGGCGCGCCUAACACAUGCAAGUCGAGCGAUGAAAUUUUAACCGAUCUCUUCGGAGAGAAGAUAAAAUGGAUUAGCGGCGGACGGGUGAGUAACACGUGAGAAACCUGCCUUUCACAAGGGGAUAGCCUCGGGAAACCGGGAUUAAUACCCUAUGACACAUUUCCUUCGCAUGGAAGAAAUGUUAAAACUCCGGUGGUGAAAGAUGGUCUCGCGCCUGAUUAGCUAGUUGGUGGGGUAACGGCCCACCAAGGCCAUGAUCAGUAACCGGCAUGAGAGGGGGAACGGUCACAUUGGAACUGAGACACGGUCCAAACUCCUACGGGAGGCAGCAGUGGGGAAUAUUGCACAAUGGAGGAAACUCUGAUGCAGCGACGCCGCGUGAGCGAUGAAGGCUUUCGAGUCGUAAAGCUCUGUCCUAUGGGAAGAUAAUGACGGUACCAUAGGAGGAAGCCCCGGCUAACUACGUG